GACGAACGCUGGCGGCGUGCUUAACACAUGCCAGUCGAACGAUGACGCCCGAGCUUGCUCGGUCUGAUUAGUGGCGAACGGGUGAGUAACACGUGAGCAACCUGCCCUUCACUCUGGGAUAACCUCGGGAAAUCGGGGCUAAUACCGGAUAUGAGCUCCUGUCGCAUGGCGGGUGUUGGAAAGUUUUUCGGUGAAGGAUGGGCUCGCGGCUUAUCAGUUUGUUGGUGAGGUAGUGGCUCACCAAGGCGAUGACGGGUAGCCGGCCUGAGAGGGCGACCGGCCACACUGGGACUGAGACACGGCCCAGACUCCUACGGGAGGCAGCAGUGGGGAAUAUUACACAAUGGGCGAAAGCCUGAUGCAGCGACGCCGCGUGAGGGAUGACGGCCUUCGGGUUGUAAACCUCUUUCAGCAGGGAAGAAGCGAAAGUGACGGUACCUGCAGAAGAAGCGCCGGCUAACUACGUG
rnacentral:rRNA from 1 species